CCAAACUCAUCUUCCAGUACUCCUCUCUCUCCCCUUGUUCUCCUCCUCCUCCUACUUCACUAUCAUCAUUAUUGAUUAAACUUGCAUGGUUGUUGAGGUGGUACAAGAAGCUUAAAACGGUGGAUCGAAUGCGUGGGAAGAGAUCUCUUCCUCCCAAUGAUCCAGAAAAGAAAGAAGUCGUCCAAAGUUUUUCAUCGUACACCUCAGCUCGUGCUGAUGAUGAACUUUCUACAAUGGUAUCAGCCCUUACGUAUGUGAUCAGCUCAAGCUACCAAGCAAGAAAAGAAGAGGGGGAGGAGAAGAAAAAACUACCAUGAUUGAGGCACAAAAUCCGAUGGUGUUGGUGUCUGGUGCAAGGGAACUUAGUCAACCUUCUGAAGAGAAUGGUAUCAUAGCCUCUCAUUGCACCACUUACUUCUACUUGCCAUUUAGUAUAAAUGGCCCCUAAUGGUUUUUCGUUUUUCUUUUGCCUUUUGUUGCCUUUUGAUGAGGAAAUACAAGUGAUCUUAUUAACAAAUUGUUUUUUCUCUUUCUUCCUUUCUUUUGUAUAUGUGUGUUUUCUUAUUUUGCUGCAAUAUUUGUGUGCUUAUUAUAUACUAAAAAAAUACAUUACUUUUGUUUUCUAGAACCUUGGUGAUCGGCUGUCCCAAUGAUUUUAUUAGUAUUCAGUUGAUCCUUGGCUUUGGCAGUUCAAAGCCUGGUGAAAAUGAAUGAGAUGCGAGGUACACUUACUUAAAUACAUGGAUGCUUAAUCAAGUCAGGUUAAUAUGUGUUACUUUGUUCUUCUCUGGAUGCUCUUGCA
rnacentral:lncRNA from 1 species